UACGGAGGGUGCAAGCGUUGUCCGGAUUUAUUGGGUUUAAAGGGUGCGUAGGCGGCCCGUUAAGUCAGCGGUGAAAUCCCGGGGCUCAACCCCGGAACUGCCGUUGAUACUGGCGGGCUUGAGUUCGGUCGAGGCGGGCGGAACUGGUGGUGUAGCGGUGAAAUGCAUAGAUACCACCAAGAACCCCGAUUGCGUAGGCAGCUCGCUGGGCCGAAACUGACGCUGAGGCACGAAAGCGUGGGGAGCGAACAGG
rnacentral:rRNA from 1 species